rnacentral:rRNA from 1 species
CCUACGGGCGGCUGCAGUGGGGAAUAUUGGACAAUGGGGGGAACCCUGAUCCAGCCAUGCCGCGUGUGUUAAGAAGGCCCUCGGGUUGUAAAGCACUUUCAGUGAGGAAGAACGCCUGGUGGUUAAUACCCAUCAGGAAAGACAUCACUCACAGAAGAAGCACCGGCUGAACUCCGUGCCAGCAGCCGCGGUAAUACGGAGGGUGCGAGCGUUAAUCGGAAUUACUGGGCGUAAAGCGCGCGUAGGUGGCUUGAUAAGCCGGUUGUGAAAGCCCCGGGCUCAACCUGGGAACGGCAUCCGGAACUGUCCAGCUAGAGUGCAGGAGAGGAAGGUAGAAUUCCCGGUGUAGAGGUGAAAUGCGUAGAGAUCGGGAGGAAUACCAGUGGCGAAGGCGGCCUUCUGGACUGACACUGACACUGAGGUGCGAAAGCGUGGGUAGCAAACAGGAUUAGAUACCCUGGUAGUC